rnacentral:tRNA from 1 species
AGCGCUAUACUUUAAAAUAAAAGGUUAGAUUUGCGUUCUGAAAAUGGGAAGAUUCUCUUGCGCUG